GGGUUUGUAGCUCAGUUGGUUAGAGCGUUGCUCUGAUAAAGCAGAGGUCGGCGGUUCAAGUCCGCCCAGACCCACCA
rnacentral:tRNA from 1 species